rnacentral:rRNA from 1 species
AACUUUCAGCAACGGAUCUCUUGGCUCUCGCAUCGAUGAAGAACGCAGCGAAAUGCGAUAAGUAAUGUGAAUUGCAGAAUUCAGUGAAUCAUCGAAUCUUUGAACGCACCUUGCACUCCUUGGUAUUCCGAGGAGUAUGCCUGUUUGAGUGUCAUG